AUUGAACGCUGGCGGCAUGCCUUACACAUGCAAGUCGAACGGCAGCACGGGAGCAAUCCUGGAGGCGAGUGGCGAACGGGUGAGUAAUAUAUCGGAACGUGCCCAGUCGUGGGGGAUAACGUAGCGAAAGCUACGCUAAUACCGCAUACGAUCUACGGAUGAAAGCGGGGGAUCGCAAGACCUCGCGCGAUUGGAGCGGCCGAUAUCAGAUUAGCUAGUUGGUGAGGUAAAGGCUCACCAAGGCGACGAUCUGUAGCUGGUCUGAGAGGACGACCAGCCACACUGGAACUGAGACACGGUCCAGACUCCUACGGGAGGCAGCAGUGGGGAAUUUUGGACAAUGGGCGCAAGCCUGAUCCAGCAAUGCCGCGUGCAGGAUGAAGGCCUUCGGGUUGUAAACUGCUUUUGUACGGAGCGAAACGGUCUUCUCUAAUACAGGGGGCUAAUGACGGUACCGUAAGAAUAAGCACCGGCUAACUACGUGCCAGCAGCCGCCGUAA
rnacentral:rRNA from 1 species